rnacentral:sRNA from 1 species
GCCAGGUGUGGUGGUGCUCACCUGUAAUCCCUGCAGCUCUUGAGGCUGAGUCAGGAGGAUUUUGAGUUCAAAGUCAGCCUCAGCAGUGGUGAAGCGCUAAGCAACUCAGUGAGACCCUGUCUCUA